rnacentral:rRNA from 1 species
UACGUAGGGUGCGAGCGUUGUCCGGAAUUAUUGGGCGUAAAGGGCUCGUAGGCGGUUUGUCGCGUCGGGAGUGAAAACCAGGUGCUUAACAUCUGGCUUGCUUUCGAUACGGGCAGACUAGAGGUAUGCAGGGGAGAACGGAAUUCCUGGUGUAGCGGUGAAAUGCGCAGAUAUCAGGAAGAACACCGAUGGCGAAGGCAGCUCUCUGGGACGGUACUGACGCUGAGACGCGAAAGCGUGGGGAGCAAACAGG